AUUGAACGCUGGCGGCAGGCCUAACACAUGCAAGUCGAGCGGUAGAGAGAAGCUUGCUUCUCUUGAGAGCGGCGGACGGGUGAGUAAUGCCUAGGAAUCUGCCUAGUGGUGGGGGAUAACGUUCGGAAACGGACGCUAAUACCGCAUACGUCCUACGGGAGAAAGCGGGGGACCUUCGGGCCUCGCGCCAUUAGAUGAGCCUAGGUCGGAUUAGCUAGUUGGUGAGGUAAAGGCUCACCAAGGCGGCGAUCCGUAACUGGUCUGAGAGGAUGAUCAGUCACACUGGAACUGAGACACGGUCCAGACUCCUACGGGAGGCAGCAGUGGGGAAUAUUGGACAAUGGGCGAAAGCCUGAUCCAGCCAUGCCGCGUGUGUGAAGAAGGUCUUCGGAUUGUAAAGCACUUUAAGUUGGGAGGAAGGGUAGUAACUUAAUACGUUGCUACUUUGACGUUACCGACAGAAUAAGCACCGGCUAACUUCGUGC
rnacentral:rRNA from 1 species